GAUGAACGCUGGCGGCGUGCCUAAUACAUGCAAGUCGAGCGAACAGACGAGGAGCUUGCUCCUCUGACGUUAGCGGCGGACGGGUGAGUAACACGUGGAUAACCUACCUAUAAGACUGGGAUAACUUCGGGAAACCGGAGCUAAUACCGGAUAAUAUAUUGAACCGCAUGGUUCAAUAGUGAAAGACGGUUUUGCUGUCACUUAUAGAUGGAUCCGCGCCGCAUUAGCUGGUUGGUAAGGUAACGGCUUACCAAGGCGACGAUGCGUAGCCGACCUGAGAGGGCGAUCGGCCACAGGGGAACGAAGACGGGCCCCACCCUUCUGCGGGAGACAGGAGUGGGACAUCUCCCGAAGGGGGCAAAAGCGAAGGGGAGAAACCGCGGGGGAGUGGGAGGGUGUCUGGGCGCAUAAAUCUAUUUUUUGGGGGGAAAGGAAAUGUGUAAAAAAGUGGGCAAGUUUGGCGGGACCCGAAUAAAAAGCCCGGGCAAAAUUCGUG
rnacentral:rRNA from 1 species